rnacentral:rRNA from 1 species
CGCGUAGGCGGCCAUGCAAGUCUGGAGUGGAAGUCCACCUUUCAAGGGUGGAAUUGCUUUGGAAACUGCGUGGCUGGAGUGCAGGAGAGGUUAUCGGAAUUCCCGGUGUAGCGGUGAAAUGCGUAGAGAUCGGGAGGAACACCAGUGGCGAAGGCGGGUAACUGGACUGCAACUGACGCUGAGGCGCGAAAGUGUGGGGAGCAAACA